GUGUGUAGCUCAGUGGUACAGCGCUUAUCUAGCAUGCACAAGGCCCUGGGUUUGAUCCCUAGCAUCACA
rnacentral:tRNA from 1 species